UGGGGAAUUUUGCACAAUGGUGGAAACCCUGAUGCAGCUACGCCGCGUGAUUUAGAAGGCCUUCGGGUUGUCAAAAUCUUUUGUAUAGGAAGAAAAUGACAGUACUAUACGAAUAAGGACCGGCUAAUUACGUGCCAGCAGCCGCGGUAAUACGUAAGGUCCGAGCGUUGUCCGGAAUCAUUGGGCGUAAAGGGUACGUAGGCGGGUAAGCAAGUUAGAAGUGAAAUCCUAUAGCUCAACUAUAGUAAGCUUUUAAAACUGCUCAUCUUGAGGUAUGGAAGGGAAAGUGGAAUUCCUAGUGUAGCGGUGAAAUGCGCAGAUAUUAGGAGGAAUACCGGUGGCGAAGGCGACUUUCUGGCCAUAACCUGACGCUGAGGUACGAAAGCGUGGGUAGCAAACAGG
rnacentral:rRNA from 1 species